AGGAAUAUUGGUCAAUGGGCGAGAGCCUGAACCAGCCAAGUAGCGUGCAGGAUGACGGCCCUAUGGGUUGUAAACUGCUUUUAUAAGGGAAUAAAGUGAGUCUCGUGAGACUUUUUGCAUGUACCUUAUGAAUAAGGACCGGCUAAUUCCGUGCCAGCAGCCGCGGUAAUACGGAAGGUCCGGGCGUUAUCCGGAUUUAUUGGGUUUAAAGGGAGCGUAGGCCGGAGAUUAAGCGUGUUGUGAAAUGUAGACGCUCAACGUCUGCACUGCAGCGCGAACUGGUUUCCUUGAGUACGCACAAAGUGGGCGGAAUUCGUGGUGUAGCGGUGAAAUGCUUAGAUAUCACGAAGAACUCCGAUUGCGAAGGCAGCUCACUGGAGCGCAACUGACGCUGAAGCUCGAAAGUGCGGGUAUCGAACAGGAUUAGAUACCCUGGUAGUCCGCACGGUAAACGAUGGAUGCCCGCUGUUGGUCUGAAUAGGUCAGCGGCCAAGCGAAAGCAUUAAGCAUCCCACCUGGGGAGUACGCCGGCAACGGUGAAACUCAAAGGAAUUGACGGGGGCCCGCACAAGCGGAGGAACAUGUGGUUUAAUUCGAUGAUACGCGAGGAACCUUACCCGGGCUUGAAUUGCAGAGGAAGGAUUUGGAGACAAUGACGCCCUUCGGGGCCUCUGUGAAGGUGCUGCAUGGUUGUCGUCAGCUCGUGCCGUGAGGUGUCGGCUUAAGUGCCAUAACGAGCGCAACCCCUCUCCUUAGUUGCCAUCAGGUCAUGCUGGGCACUCUGGGGACACUGCCACCGUAAGGUGUGAGGAAGGUGGGGAUGACGUCAAAUCAGCACGGCCCUUACGUCCGGGGCUACACACGUGUUACAAUGGCAGGUACAGAGAGACGGUCCCUUGCAAAAUGGAUCAAAUCCUUAAAGCCUGUCUCAGUUCGGACUGGGGUCUGCAACCCGACCCCACGAAGCUGGAUUCGCUAGUAAUCGCGCAUCAGCCAUGGCGCGGUGAAUACGUUCCCG
rnacentral:rRNA from 1 species